UGGCUCCCAAAGUCCCCUCAAGGAAUUUGCUGGCGCCCAGGUUCCUAUCUUCGCCCUGGACCUAGUUUCUCCGUGGUGGUGCCUAAAGUAGCUAAGGGCUUGAAAGGAAGAAGAAAUUUGAAUCUUAGCUCUGUCUUAGGCAAUGAACGUGGCGGUUAAGUAUUCGUACUUUAGCGUCAGACUUGGGAUGGAGAUCUGGCAUUUAGAAAAUUCAGCUGUACCUUAGGAGAGUUAAUCCUUGGAUCCCCAGGUUCUCAAAGUGUGGGGCUCCGGACCAGAAGCAACAGCAUCACCUGUGAUGAAGUCUCGGGCCUCACUGUAGCUCUACUGAAUCAAUUUAUGGAGGGGAACAGCGGUGUGUGUUUUAGCCAAAUCCCCAAGAAGUUGGUCACCUUCUUGAAAAUUUAGAAUUACCAGAGCGGAGCUGGAAGAAGGUCUAGUACCUUUUAGUUCCAGGCCUAAGCAAACCACCAAAAUAAAUAGGUCACUGUGAAACUACAAAUUCCUUCUGGAUCUGUCCUAAGAAAUAAAAAACUAUUUCCAGUCCCAGUAACAGUAAACAACAGCUGGAAUUAGCAGACCCCAGGGUCUAAAAUUUGAACUAUACACUCUUAUUUUAUAUAAUAGGGCUUUCUGCUAGUCUCAAGUCAACAUCAAGCCCUAUAAAGUACACUGAUCAACUGCCUUGUUGCAUUGUAACUCUUAUUACUGUGCAACAGCAACACAAGACAAAACCACCAGCUUGUUGCUAAUGUAUUAUUGGCACAAAAAUAUAGUCAGCUACUCAUACUGUUGUUCCUUAGAGAUACUGCCUUGGUGACUUCUUAAAAAAUCACCAAAGAGCUAUAGAGAAAUGGUACAUACAUGUUAGCACUUCCACCACAGCAGGAGCCAGUGAACAGUGGUCAUGUGGGCAGUGUACUUACUGGUUUCAACAGAAAGCAAGAUAAUCCAGAAUAAAAGCCGUGAAAAGAAAAUGUCCCCAAGAGAAUAUGGAAGACAGAAGGUUCUUUUGAGAGAGUAUGGAAAAAAUGAGAAAAAUCUAUUAAUUUUUGUUAAAAUUUUUAUAUUAAAAAGUGGCAUGAACUUAUGUAGAACAAAACUCUUGGGAAGGCAAAUUGGAUAAAACCAUUAAAACAGAAAUAUAGUGCUUCAAGUGAAUCCCAUCACCGUGUGACAUCCCUUAUAAACAGCUUCUAAACUACCGCCAGAUACUGGACCAGUCAAGCCUGCAACCCUGAGGAAGGAGCAGCAGUCCAGGAGCGCCACGCUACUUCAGGCAACAAUCACUGAAAUGAAGCCCCCUGCACCUGUUUCCUUUCUUGCAGCUCCCUCUUCUGAAGGUGCUCUGGCAAGAUGCUCUCUCUUAGCACGUGAGACGGAGCACCGCUCUGCAGCUAAUGCAACACACAGUGGAAAGCACGAAGGCCAACAAAGCACUGCCCAGGACUCUGCCACACUGCCCUUGGAGGCUUACAAAACAGUAGUUAAAAGUCUCGGAGUGUGCACCACAUUGCCAGCAAUGGGAUAUGUCACAAUAGCAGAUGUCAAAAGAGUUAAGCAAAUAUUUCUCUUUAAAGUACAUCUGAAAUAGAAAAAUCUUCAAUAUACACCAUUUUGUAAACAAAAUUGCACUUGAUUUUGUUUUUAUAUGAUCUGAAUCACACUGUAACAGUUUCUUUUUCUUUCAAUUAUUUAUACAACCAUGGCACCUUAACUCAGAAGGGGCCCCUUUUUCUCAAAACAAUCUCUGCAAGAUGUAACCUUGACUUCCCAGGAAACCAAAAGAUAAUUACCAAUUUCCCCCAUCACCCAUGUAACUCCCUAAAUAAAUAAAAAUUACAGGCAGUUGCUCCUGGAGAUUA